rnacentral:lncRNA from 1 species
AUGAAGAAAAAGUGCAGAAAAUGACAGAAAAGUGAUUGGGUCAGUGAUUUGCCCAAAUCACUCGUAGAAACUGGUCAAAUCACUCGCAGAGACAGAGACAGAAACUGGACUGAAUCCCGGAGAACGAUUGGGGCAGAUUGGGCAAGUGAUUUGCCCAAAUCACUCGCAGAAACUGCCCAAAUCACCUUGACAGCAGAAAUUGACAGCAGAGGCGGGAAACAGCAGGGAAC